AAGUUGGCACCAGAUUUGGGGAGUUUUAAGAGGUUUAGAAGCCUGGCCAUCAAUAUUCACAGCAGUUAUGGAGGCAAGGGAAACAGGCCUUUGAAAAGAAGGUAAUGUGGAGUGGGUAGCCUCCAUAUUGAUUAAGAAGGGGACAGACUUACCCUCCACUGUGAGAGUUACCUAAAGCUCGGCAUCUGUGAUGGUCUACAGGGCUUCUGAGGUGAUCAGGCAGCAAAAGUCUUCAGCCAGUAAGCCAAGAAGGAGUCAGUCAGAGAGCCUUGGGCCAGAGUUCCAGGGGCUCUGGGAGUGGCUGCCAGCUACUGCCUUCCUCAUCAACAAAGUGCCCCUUCCUGUUGAUGAGUUGGCACCUUUACCUCUGGACAACAUUCUUCCCUUUAUGGAUCCAUUAAAGCUUCUUCUGAAAACUCUGGGCAUUUCUGUUGAGCACCUUGUGGAGGGGCUAAGGAAGUGUGUAAAUGAGCUGGGACCAGAGGCUUCUGAAGCUGUGAAGAAACUGCUGGAGGCGCUAUCACACUUGGUGUGAGUCAAGAUAGACAGCGGAGGUGGAUGGGGAUGGAAGAUGACGCUCCUAUCCUCCCUGGCUGAAACCUGUUCUACCAAUUAUAGAUCAAAUGCCCUAAAAUGUAGUGACCCAUGAAAAGGACAAAUAAAGCAAUGAAUAGA
rnacentral:sRNA from 1 species